rnacentral:rRNA from 1 species
AGGGAAUCUUCCGCAAUGGACGAAAGUCUGACGGAGCAACGCCGCGUGAGUGAAGAAGGUCUUCGGAUCGUAAGACUCUGUUGUUAGGGAAGAACAAGUAUCGUUCGAACAGGGCGGUGCCUUGACGGUACCCGGCCAGAAAGCCACGGCUAACUACGUGCCAGCAGCCGCGGUAAUACGUAGGUGGCAAGCGUUGUCCGGAAUUAUUGGGCGUAAAGCGCGCGCAGGCGGUUUCUUAAGUCUGAUGUGAAAUCUUGCGGCUCAACCGCAAGCGGUCAUUGGAAACUGGGAGGCUUGAGUGCAGAAGAGGAGAGUGGAAUUCCACGUGUAGCGGUGAAAUGCGUAGAGAUGUGGAGGAACACCAGUGGCGAAGGCGGCUCUCUGGUCUGUAACUGACGCUGAGGCGCGAAAGCGUGGGGAGCAAAC